AAAACUUUCAACAACGGAUCUCUUGGUUCUGGCAUCGAUGAAGAACGCAGCGAAAUGCGAUAACUAAUGUGAAUUGCAGAAUUCAGUGAAUCAUCGAAUCUUUGAACGCACAUUGCGCCC
rnacentral:rRNA from 2 species